rnacentral:lncRNA from 1 species
UCAAAUGUCCAAUUUCUGAGGGAAACUAAAGGUUCCCAAGGCAAGGCUCAUAAGAGGGUUCAAAACUUAGGGUCUAAGAGUAAGUGCAAGUGUAAUAAAAAGGGAAAAGGCAACCUGGUGGUCUUGCCCAGCAAUUUUGAGGUGCUGGCACACCCCUGACCAACUUGUCAGUCUAAAUUUAAGAGUUAAGACCUGUUGACGGCCAGGUUCAACCACGAACAACAAUUUGGAUGGUGCCAUGCUAUACCUUAACUCAGCACACAUAGGGGAAUGGGGUAUGGGAUUCAUAGCAGAAACAGAAGACAAAGGAAGAUGGGUAAAGGGCAUGAUCAGUAAUGAAAAAUACUGACACAACUUUUACUUCUGGUCAAAUUUCAGUUCAUGGACAACAAAUCAAAUUGCCAUGCCCUAAAUCCCCAUUUAUAGACAUAUAAAUUGUCAUGGGGUAGGGAUCAAACAUUUACAGGAAAGUAAAGCAAACAUAGCAUAUGAACAUGUCAAAUUCUCCAGGUAACAGACAUAGAUAUAAAGACUUGUAUAUAAACACAUUGGAGUGACACUGGAAAUCCAAAUUAGGACAUACCAGUUUCAGGUACGUAAAUGAAUAAAAAAA